GAAUUAUUGUAAUAUAAGUUGAGAUAAAUAAUGUUCCAAUUUCUGUAUUAUAAACACAAUACUAUAACUAAAAUUACAAUAUACAUGCACAGUAGUCAGUAUUAUGUAUCUCACCGAAAUGUGGGAACCAUCAAAAGAUUCGUACAUAUAUGCCAUAUGGCUCCGAAAGUUUACAAUUCUAAUUUUAAAGAGCAAUCAACUUGUGAUAGCAAUAGCAGGCGCGGUUGUUAACGUGAACGCAAUACGAAUAAUUUCUAAUACAUUACCACAGUUCGGUGAGAUAAUACACACAUUCCAUCAAUAACAUUAACUUGGGUUAGCAUAUGUCAACAUAACUCUCAAAAAGUGUAAAAUUACUGUAGUACUAAUAUUCAUGAGUCAUGACAAGUCAUUGAAGAGGGCUGUGACCCUCAUUAGUGAGCUUAAGCAAAUGACGUUUUUGACAACACGGACGGUAUGAGCAACGUCAGAAGACUGGGUCAAGGGCUGUGAUUGGUGAAAAACUACAACUUUACUUCUGGUCGACGUCCGUGUUGUCAAAAACGUCACUUGCUUAAACUCACUAUUGGCAGUUGUAUGCCAUUUUCUGUGUUGCCCAUGCACUACUAUAGUCUGCAAGGCAGACAAGAUACUCUUCGUGUGGCAGUAGUCAAUAUUGAAGAUGUAAAAACUUGCCAAUAAGGCGAUAAUUGCAUCAAAACAACUGUUGCUUGUUAUGGAACUUUCAUCCUUUCC